rnacentral:rRNA from 1 species
UACAGAGGUCUCAAGCGUUGUUCGGAUUCAUUGGGCGUAAAGGGUGCGUAGGUGGCGCCGUAAGUCGGGUGUGAAAUUUCGGAGCUUAACUCCGAAACUGCAUUCGAUACUGCGGUGCUUGAGGACUGGAGAGGAGACUGGAAUUCAUGGUGUAGCAGUGAAAUGCGUAGAGAUCAUGAGGAAGACCAGUGGCGAAGGCGGGUCUCUGGACAGUUCCCGACACUGAGGCACGAAGGCCAGGGGAGCAAACGGG